UUUUCCUCUCGUCUCGCGCCGCCAGAGCCUCCAAGCGGCCAAGUCGCACGCUCCGCCGCCGCUCCACUCCAUCCCCAAGGACCCCAACUCCCCCAUGUCCGUCUAGCUCGUCUCCCGCGGCGCGCCCAUCCGAUUCAGCCCGUCACAACUCGCAGCAGCAGCUGCCGCAGCCGGAGAAGGAUCGAGGCAGGGAGAGAAGCGCGCCGCUGCUGUUCGGCUCGAGCUCGCUCUGUCAAUCGAUGGCGCUGGCCCAUGAGGUACAAGGCGUGUCCUUCCCCACAUCGGCUCUCACGCCGUCCUCCAGGACCAGCAAAUCAACUGACCGCCUCGUCCUCAUCCAAUCUCUGCCUUUGUCUUUCCUUGCUUCCUUGCCGGAGACUUGGUUUGAUUCCAGAUUUGUAGGUCUCAUCAUGGUUUUACCUUUGGCAGAUGGUGCAUGAUUGAUUGAGUUAAAGCAAGGGAAGUCUUCCGGGGUCUUUUGAAUUUGCAGUCGAUACUGUUUGGACACGCUAUCUGCAGCAGAACUGCAGAACAACGAAAUGCAUUUUUUCUGACGGUUUGAGCCUGCGUUCGCGUUCAGCACUAGCUUCCUCGAGAGCUGAACGAGCCGAGCUGAGGUUUUAGCUCGUUUUGUUAACGAGCCGAGCCAGCUCGUUACAAUACCCAACGAGCUAGAACGAGCCGAGCAGUGCCUCCGUUGCUGCCCGCUGCCCCGCCGUCGCCAUGUCCUCCGCCGCCGCCCGAGCCCUCAAGUUCGUCUCCCGCGCUGCCUUGUCCUGGAAGCCGACGAGGCGGCCGCAGCAAACGCUGGCGGCGACCGUGAGCAGGUCUGGCGUGGGCCUCCACUCGGGCGCGCGCGUCACUGCAACGUUAAUCCCGGCCCACGCCGGCGAGGGUAGGUAUUUCCUCGUGGACGGCGAGGAGGAGGCGAGGGUGGCGGCGGAGGUGGGGAACGCCGAGCCGCGGUCGCAGCUCUGCACGACCCUUCGGCGGGGCGAAGGCGGGGGCCCGCGGGUCCGCACAGUGGAGCACCUUCUCUCCGCGAUGGAGGCGCUAGGCGUCGACAAUUGCCGCGUUGAGGUCAGCGGCGGCGACGAGAUUCCUUUGCUUGAUGGAUCAGCACAAGAGUGGGUAGAGGCAAUACGAAGUGCAGAGAGAUGACUGCUUCAUAGCUGCAUUCCCUAGUUCGCGAAUCCGCAUCAGCUAUGGAAUUGAUUUCCCGAAGGUGCCAGCAAUUGGGUGUCGAUGGUUUUCUACAUACCUGGAUGCUAAUAUAUACUCAAGCAAGAUUGCUCCGGCAAGAACUUUCUGUAUAUUUGAAGAGAUCGAAAAAAUGCGUGGUGCUGGGCUCAUCAAAGGAGGGUCACUAGAAAAUGCUAUGGUUUGCAGCAUGUCUGGUGGUUGGCUAAAUCCACCAGUGCGGUUUGAGGAUGAACCUUGCCGUCACAAGAUUUUAGAUCUUAUAGGUGACUUCUCGCUUCUUGCACAGAAUGGUAACCAGGGUUUCCCAAUCGCUCAUAUAGUUGCCUAUAAGGCUGGUCAUGCGCUGCACACUCAUUUCCUGUGCCAUCUGUCUGGAAAGAUCACUGUGGACCAAGAAGAGCUUGCUGGACAAUGCUGAAAUGCACGGCUCCUAUUCAUCGUAGUAAGUUGUUGGUAGUGGUUAGAAAGCUACAGUUCAGGGUAAGCACCUGAUGACCCUCAUUUCAACACUUCAGCAUUCUAUUUGGAGCAUUUCCCUCAGACUUGUAGGGUGUGUCAGCCAGCUGUUUGGUGUUCGCGUUGUAGAAAAAUCAUUUUUGCCGAGCUGUGUACAAAUUGUUGAAAGACUGCAACUUAGUACUACUGUAUAAGGCAUUCCUUUUUGUACCAUAGUAUAAGUUUGCCGAGCUGUGUACAAA